rnacentral:tRNA from 1 species
UGCAGCAUGGCAUAGUGGUUUGAGCGUUGGACUAUGACUGGAGACCAGGGUUCGAAUCCCAGCUCAGCCA